rnacentral:lncRNA from 1 species
AAGUAACUUGGGGGUGAUAGGUGACCAGAGUGGGUUGAUCUAGGGGUGGACAAGGAGAUUGAGGUUCUUUGAUCAAAUGAACAAGCUUCUCAACAAUCGGACCUUACUAGGGAUUUGGAAGAUUGGGGCGGGACUUACCUAUGCAAAGCUAGUGCUUAGAGUUGAGCAUUUGGUCAUGAAAAACGACUCUACUACUGUUAUUAGAUAGAUCCAGAGUUGGA